AUACGUAGGGGGCGAGCGUUAUCCGGAUUUAUUGGGCGUAAAGCGUGUGUAGGCGGUUUGUUAAGUUUAAGAUUAAAGCCCGAGGCUUAACCUCGGUUCGUCUUAAAAACUGGCAGACUUGAGUGCAGUAGAGGCAAGUGGAAUUUCUAGUGUAGCGGUUAAAUGCGUAGAUAUUAGAAGGAACACCAGUGGCGAAGGCGGCUUGCUGGGCUGUUACUGACGCUGAGACACGAAAGCGUGGGGAGCAAAUAGGAUUAGAUACCCUAGUAGUCCACGCCGUAAACGAUGAGUACUAAGUGUCGGGUAACCGGUGCUGAAGUUAACACAUUAAGUACUCCGCCUGAGUAGUACGGUCGCAAGGCUGAAACUCAAAGGAAUGGACGGGG
rnacentral:rRNA from 1 species